UUUCUUGCAGAAAAACAAACAAUUCCAAUGGAACAACCAUUCAAAACAUAAUAACUCAGCCCUUUAACCUCCUACCACAGUCUAAUGCCUGGCAUUACGAGUUGGGGUAAAGAAGAAGGCAGGAACAAUGAUUGUGGAGAGCUCUAUCUGCCUCAGAAAUAAUGCCAGUCGGCAAAGGCUGCCGGCAGGUUUUGUGCUCAUUUCAAAACUUCACAUUCCUCAGGCACUUAGUGGCAUUUUUGAAGAACACUGUGUCAAGGACAGUGGGUGACCCAGGAGAGUGAUGUGAGCGAGGUCAUUCUGAAUACACAGCACUUGACGUGGUAGAGUCUACAGCCACAGCUUGGAAAAACAGCUCUUGGCAGUUGUGUCUCUCUUAGCCAGCAAGCGUGGGGACCUGUGCCACGGAGACACCCAACAGGAAUCAUCAUUCCAGGCAGACACCUGGCUGCGGGAGCCACUGCCAAGUCUAGCUGUCAGGUUUUGUCACUGAUGGGCAAUAUGGAGAGAAUGUAAAAAUAUCUAACUUCAAACAGAAAAAAGAAACAACUGGAAUGAAAAGCUAUAAACAAUAGUUCAGAAGAUUGACGUAGAGGAUUUACCUACAGAACUUCAGGAGAUUCCUAAGAAGGCCUUCAGUGAUCUUUUCAUCAAUAUCAUCAGGCCUUAUCAUUGUUUCACAUUUGCUUCUCUUUACCAUAGGGAAUAUAAUAAUUAUUUACUGGUUAACUUCCUAGGGAGAUUGCCUGCGGCUUAUUUAAGAUCCAAAUUUUAAAGUAAUAAUUUCUGUUGAAGCUGCUUGUGAGGUGGUUGGGUGGGCAGAUAGAGUGAAGCCAGGGACACACACUAAAUGAGCCCGGGAUGUAGGCAGGUUUUGAUGUUUUGCUUGCUUUUAUCCCUAACAUUUUAUCCCUUCACGUUUACUGUCUCACUGAACAUUUUGUCUACUCUUCUAGUUAUGCAGUGAGCAGGUCUCCUCCAGGAAGAAGCCUCUUUUUAUGAGGAUUGGGGUGGUGACAGACAAUAAUCAAAUGGUCUGAUUUCUCUGCUAUCCUUUCCUUUCCCCUAAAUGUUCUCAGGGGAUCUGCUUGAACUUUUUUCAAGAGCUCUGUAUUUGGAUUUUUAGUAGCCUAUAGAUUAUCACUCAAUAAAACAAAUUAAUUGUUUUUAAGUGAAUUGCCAAAAGUCAUUUUAAAAAGGAAACUCUAUGGUUAUUAUGGUUUCUGCUAGAAAGAAUUCUGACAGCUCAUAAAAGCAAUAUGUAUAAUUUUUCAUUUUUUAGAAGAAAAUAAAUACUUUCAUGUAAUGGCUUGAGACUCUGAAUUGCUCCAAUUCCUGAAGAUUAUUUAUUAAUCAUUUAGUCUUUUAAUAUAUUUGAGUGUGGGUUCCCUGGCAGAGGAGGGAGUUCAGAAGAGACCCUGAUUUCCCCCCCAAAA
rnacentral:lncRNA from 1 species